AACGAACGCUGGCGGCAUGCCUAACACAUGCAAGUCGAACGAGACCUUCGGGUCUAGUGGCGCAGGGGUGCGUAACGCGUGGGAACCUGCCCUUAGGUUCGGAAUAACUCCCCGAAAGGGGUGCUAAUACCGGAUAAUGUCUUCGGGCCAAAGAUUUAUCGCCUUUGGAUGGGCCCGCGUUGGAUUAGCUAGUUGGUAGGGUAAAAGCCUACCAAGGCGACGAUCCAUAGCUGGUCUGAGAGGAUGAUCAGCCACACUGGGACUGAGACACGGCCCAGACUCCUACGGGAGGCAGCAGUGGGGAAUAUUGGACAAUGGGCGAAAGCCUGAUCCAGCAAUGCCGCGUGAGUGAUGAAGGCCUUAGGGUUGUAAAGCUCUUUUACCAGGGAUGAUAAUGACAGUACCGGGAGAAUAAGCUCCGGCUAACUCCGUG
rnacentral:rRNA from 1 species